UGUUAUUUUCUAGCUGUUUGUUUCUCGAGAAAAUUUUACAGAGCGAAAAAUGGCAACGGAGGAGGGACAAGUUUUCAGCUGCCACACUGUGGAGGCAUGGGAGCAGCAGCUCCAAAAAGGCAACGACUCCAAGAAGCUGAUGGUUAUUGACUUCACCGCCUCAUGGUGCGGACCAUGCCGCUUCAUCGCACCAUUCUUGGCCGAGUUGGCUAAGAAGCUGCCCGAAGUCAUAUUUGUAAAGGUCGAUGUCGAUGAAUUGAAGACGGUCGCGCAAGACUGGGCGGUAGAGGCAAUGCCGACGUUCAUGUUCCUGAAAGAAGGGAAGAUCGUGGACAAGGUGGUAGGAGCGAAGAAGGACGAGCUGCAGCAGACGAUUGCUAAGCAUGUGGGCACUGCUUCUGCCUGAAUGUCAUAAAUUCCGAUCAAUCUAUACUAUACUAUAGCAAAGCACACAUGGCCACAGACCUUAUGAUGUGCAAAUGUGGAAAUUCUAUCUAGCACAAGGCCUAACGGUGAGAACUCUUGCGUCUGACCAUCGGACCAGGUGGACUGUCGGAUUUACUCACAAAGAAAUGAGUUCCUUUGUAUUUAGGUACCACUUGGUCUUGUGUACCCACAAACCACCAUAUAAGGAGAGAUUUUUUGGUACCAAGUAUUCAAGGGAUACUCUACAUGUUAUAAUGCACUUAGAGGAAAUAAUAUAUUUUUUUUUAUCUCUUUA